UCUAGGACCAUGAAUGGAGACAAGCUGUAACUGCUGCUGGAUCAGGAUGCAUAGCUGCUUUAUCAGCCGAGAGAUACCUCACAAGUAACAAUCUUCUUGUUGAAUUUCACCAGCCUCAAACUGAAGAGGCCAAGAAAGAAUUCACACAACGGGAUGUCCAAGAAAAGUUUGACGUCACUCUUACAAAGCAUAAGGGACAGUAUGCUCUUAGAAAAUUAUACCAUGAGAGUCCAAGAGUUAUAUUGGUACUAUACACUUCACCAACAUGUGGCCCCUGUAGAACUCUGAAGCCUAUUUUGAACAAGGUGGUCGAUGAGUAUCACAGUGAGGUGCAUUUUGUUGAGAUUGACAUUGAAGAAGAUCAAGAAAUUGCUGAAGCAGCUGGAAUCAUGGGAACUCCAUGUGUACAAUUCUUCAAGAACAAGGAAAUGCUUAGGACAAUAUCGGGUGUGAAGAUGAAGAAAGAGUACCGAGAAUUCAUUGAGGCCAAUAAAUGAGGACACCAGAUAGAUUUGAUUGUUUCUGGCAGAUGCCAAAACUUAUCAUGAUUCAAUUUUGUUCAUUCAAAUACAUUGGAGUUACUGCUGCAACGCCAUUGAAUCUCAAAUGAAAACAAAUAGAAUCAUCAUAUUAAGCUGCACGCAUAAUGUGUUACAA